CGCAUGGAAUAGGGUGUUAUUCUAGGAAAAGCCAGCAUAGUUAUUCCCUUUCUUCAACACUGAAUGGUGAUUCAGUGCAUGAGGAGUAAAUUUUUUCCCAUUUUCAUUUUUUGCCCCUAACAUUUCUGAAACAGCCCCCUCCCCCCUCAACUUGACAUCCUCUCUCUCACCCACCUUCCUCAGUCGAUAUCAUCAAAUCUGUUGUUCUGUUUUUUCUAAGUCCAAAAGUUAGGGCUUCGAAUUAUUCUCCCAUUAAGUUGUUUUGUCUUUGAAACUGACAUAUCUGCUCAAAGGAAUACUUGAAAUCCAGUUAUCCUUUCAUUUUCGCCUUACUCAUUCUCAGCUUAUAGAAAGAAAGUAUGGGAAUUGCAUCCUAGUUUCCAAUUCACGAAAAGCAUUCGACGGAGUCUAAGUUUAAGUUGAGGUAUGCUAUCCAUGUUUAAUAUUAAGAUGGGCAUCCAACCUAAAUCCAAAUAGCAAUAGUGUGUUAUUGCUUCCUCUUAUUCUUUAGCUUGAUUGAUUGUUUCCUCCACCAAUAGCUGAGCCUCUUGUAUUCACUGAAUCACUGUAAGUUCUUUUGUAAUUAAAUUUUUUGAUUUUUUUUAUUUUUGUUGAUAUUAGUAUUGUACUAAUGGCUCGAUCGCCUUUAAUAGUACAAAGUGAGAGGCAUAAAAUAAUUGAUCUUGCAUUGACAGUAUGGUUGCAAAUGUGUACAUUUGCAAGUUGGUUCUUAGUUACAUUAGGUGUCAUCCAUAGCCUACAUACUUAUAGACCAAUGAUUAAAUUAUAUAUUUUAGAUUUUUAUGCAAAAUGUGAUUAUGUGAAAAAACUUGUAUAUGCUAGUGACGAGACCUAUAUUGAACAAGUUAGGAUGAAUAGAAUUAAAUUUUUUAAACUAUGUGAGAUGUUACAAGCUUUAGGAGGAUUGAAGUCGUCAAGGAAUAUGUUUGUUGAUGAACAAGUGGCCAUGUUUUUACAUAUUAUUUCUUAUCACCUUAAAAACCGAGUUAUCAAAUAUCACUUUAAUAGGUCCGGGGAAACCAUUAGCAGAUCAUUUCACAAUGUUUUAAAUGUUUUCAUACGCUUGCAAGAUGUGCUAUUUAAAAAGGCAGAGCCAAUUACAGUUAAUUCUACAAAUCUAAUGUGGAGAUGGUUCAAGGUAUUGGAGUGACUUUCAUAUAUAACUUAUACAUAAUUUAUUUGAUUUAGAUUUAAAUAUAAUAACUUAACUUGAGGUUUUAUAAAUGUGAUAUAAAAUUGCUUAGGUGCUUUAGAUGAAACCCAGAUCAAGAUUAGGGUUCCAAUAGUUGAUAAACCUAGAUAUCGAACGCAAAAAGGUGACAUAACAACAAAUAUGUUAGGUGUUUGUAAACCUAAUAUGCAUUUUGUUUAUGUUCUUCCUGAUUGAGAAGGUUCUGUUUCUGAUGGACGGGUUCUUCGAGAUGUCAUUAGUAGGAGACACAGACUAAAAGUUUCUCAUGGUAAAGUGUAGAAUUGGAGGACUUUGAAUUAAUUUUUAAGAUCAAAUUUUUUUGGGAAAGUUAACCUUGAUAAAUAGUUUUUUUUUUAUAGGUUGCUAUUAUCUAGUUGAUGUUGGUUACAUAAAUUGUGAGGAAUUUCUCACGCCUUUUAGAGGAAAAAUAUAUCAUUUGAAUGAGUGGCGUCAGGGUUACCAACCAAGUACUUCAGAAGAAUUUUUCAAUAUGAAACAUGCUUCAGCGCACAAUGUUAUUGAAAUAUGCUUUGGGUUAUUAAAACUUAGAUAUGGAAUACUUAGGAGUCCAUUACUCUAUCUUGUGAUGGUGCAUAAUAGAAUCAUUGUUGUAUGUUGUUUGCUCCAUAAUUUUAUUCGAAGCUAUAUGAGUCUUGGUCCUAUUGAAGCGGAGUUGGGAGAAGGACUAGAUAGUAAUGUGAUAGAUAACGAUGAACCGAAUAUCGUAAAUAUUUAUCCAUCAGAUACAUGGGCUACUUCGAGGAUGGAAUUAGCCAAUCAAAUUUUCUAUGAAUUAAAAGCAUUUAAAAAUUAGUUACGUUUAUUAAAACAUAGUAGAAGGUUAAUUUUUUUAUGUUAUUUCAUGUAUCUAGUUUACGAAACUUUGGUGUUGUUUGAAUUUUCUUUAUGUAUUGUACUAAACUUGUUGAAUUACAACUUUACACUACAAGAAAA